GGAAGCAUUUUCUCUCCUGUUGCUGGUCAGAGGGAAGGCCUGGUCAUUCUCUCCAUGCCUGCUGUUAUGGAGUCAGGUCCCAGACCUUAUUUUUUCUGCUUCUUCUGCUUACUCCCAGCUGCCUUUAGUUGGGGACAUGUCUGUUGAAAUGAAUGGACAACAUGAGUUUGCUGGUCACCUCUGGCACACUAAAGACCCUGUAACAGGACAACUGAAGGUGAUGUGAUCUCUGAGAGAUGGAGAGCACAAGGAGGCAGAGAGCCAGG